ensembl:misc_RNA
UAGAAUGACCCUCUGCCUCAUCGAUCUCCAUCCACAGAGCAGGUGCAGUGCAGGCAGCAGCAGAGCCUGGUUCCAUCACUCUCUGCCUUGCCAGUGUGUCUAACCCCUGUCCUGGGGCAACGGCUUCAAAGAUGAAAGGGAGUUCAGUCUCCAUGGCCCUUUCAGUCUUUGGCCUCU